UCUUUCCUCUUUGCUCCUCACUCUUCUUUCUCCUGCUGCCUUGUGAAGAAGGUGCCUUCUUUCCCUUCUGCCGUGAUUGCAAGUUUCCCGAGGCCUCCCCAGCCACACGGAACUGUCAGUCUUCCAGGUCAUCAUUGGAAAGCUCUCCAGCCUCAAUGCCAACAAGCUCGGAGGAAACACAAAUCAGGACACAGAGCAACAUGAGUGGGUGCUGGCAGUAAAGUGUUGUGGAGGCCAUGCUGCUGGAGGACAAGGAACAGAGGCAGCAUCGAGGCACCAGGGUGAGAGCCGAAGGAUGAUUGAGCUGGCCCAGCCUCACCACUCUGAUUGCAAGAAUGAGUCUGUGACUGAGACCCGGCCCAUCAGAGUAAAGCAUCCGCUGGUAACACAAGUAAUUUAGGAAUGUCCACAUAACCCAAACCACACAAACUGGAAGCCCUCUCUAAGCAUUUUCUGCUGGAACUAAGAACAAAGAGUUUUUUUAACUCUUGCAUGUAGU
rnacentral:lncRNA from 1 species